rnacentral:rRNA from 1 species
CAUUCGAGUGGCGGACGGGUGAGUAACGCGUGGGUAACCUGCCUUACACAGGGGGAUAACACCUGGAAACAGGUGCUAAUACCGCAUAAGCGCACAGGGCCGCAUGGCCCGGUGUGAAAAACUCCGGUGGUGUAAGAUGGACCCGCGUCUGAUUAGCUUGUUGGCGGGGUAGGGGCCCACCAAGGUGACGAUCAGUAGCCGGCCUGAGAGGGUGGACGGCCACAUUGGGACUGAGACACGGCCCAAACUCCUACGGAAGGCAGCAG